rnacentral:rRNA from 1 species
UUAGUUCCUGAAUCCUGCAGUGGAAAGUUUGGUGAACCUUAUCACUUAGAGGAAGGAGAAGUCGUAACAAGGUUUCCGUAGGUGAACCUGCGGAAGGGUCAUUC